UACAGAGGUCGCGAGCGUUAAUCGGAUUUACUGGGCGUAAAGCGUGUGUAGGUGGUUGUUCAAGUCGGUUGUGAAAUCCCCGGGCUCAACCUGGGAACUGCUUCCGAGACUGAGCGACUAGAGAUCGGUAGAGGGCGGUGGAAUUUCCGGUGUAGCGGUGAAAUGCGUAGAUAUCGGAAGGAACACCAGUGGCGAAAGCGGCUUCCUGGUCCAGCAUCGACGUUCAGGCACGAAAGCGUGGGGAGCAAACAGG
rnacentral:rRNA from 1 species